CACCUUACAAUUUUUCAGGAACUAAACGACAUCGAAGAAAUUAUACACGAGAGGAGGAGAUCACAUUACAUAGAACUGGAGGAUUCACGGAUCAAUCGGAGUGCGAAUCUUCAUCAGACGAGACGGAGGAGGAAGAUGAGGAAGAGGUGUAGAAAUUGGUAUGCGGAGGGAAACAGAAGAAAGUCCAAACACAAAGGGCGAAACGGCGAAACUGUUGAAAGGGGAAGCAGAAGAGGAGAUGGAGAACUUGUUGGCUGUGUAAUCUUUCGGGGUUACAAGCUAUGUACUGGCAUAAAUCGGCGGAGAUGUUGGCCACAGCCACCACCAGCGGGCUGUUCAUCACCAUCGUGUUCGUCGAUCGGAAGCGGUUGGAGGUUGUGGGG
rnacentral:lncRNA from 1 species